rnacentral:ncRNA from 1 species
GUUUGGUCCUAGCCUUACUGUCAACUCUUACUUAACUUACACAUGCAAGUAUCCGCAUACCCGUGAAAACGCCCUUAACACCUUUUUAGGAUAAGGAGCCGGUAUCAGGCACAGCCUCCUUGCCCACAACACCUAGCUUCGCCACACCCCCAAGGGUAUUCAGCAGUGAUAAACAUUGUUAAUAAGCGCCAGCUUGAUUCAGUUAAAGUAAAUAGAGCCGGCCAACCCGGUGCCAGCCGCCGCGGCUAUCCCGUCGGGCCCAAGUUGACAGGUAACGGCGUUAAGCGUGUUUUAAGUACCCUAAACAAUUAGAAUUUAAUUUUAACCAAGUUGUGAUAUACUUGUUACCAAGAAAAACAAAAACGAAAGUUAUUCUAAUACAACCACUUGAAUCCACGACAGCUAGGACACAAACUGGGAUUAGGUACCCCACUAUGCCUAGCCGUAAAAUAUUUAUUUACAUCCUUAACCACCAGGGAAUUACGAGCCCAAGCUUAAAACCCAAAGGACUUGACGGUGCCCCACCCACCUAGAGGAGCCUGUUCUAUAAUCGAUUUUCCCCGAUAUACCCAACCACUUUUAGACCAUCAGCCUGUAUACCUCCGUCGUAAGCUUACCAUAUGAACGUAAAAUAGUGAGCUAAAAGAUCUUAAAUCAAUACGUCAGGUCAAGGUGCAGCCCACAAAGCGGAAAGAAAUGGGCUACAAUUUCUAACUUAGAACACACGAAAGACUGUAUGAAACACAGCCAUGAAGGCGGAUUUAGCAGUAAAAAGAAAAUAGAGAGUUCUUUUUAAUUAGGCACUGGGACGCGUACACACCGCCCGUCACCCUCUUCAAAUGCCCAGCCAAGUUUAUAACACAAUUUUGCACUAUAGAAGAGGUAAGUCGUAACACGGUAAGCGUACUGGAAAGUGCCCUUGGAUUU